CAUGCGCUGCUACCAUGCAGUCGAACGUGAUCCGCCCUUCGGGGUGGUGAAAGUGGCGCACGGGUGAGUAACGCGUGGAUAAUCUGCCCGAGGAUUUGGGAUAACAUCUCGAAAGGGGUGCUAAUACCGAAUAAGCCCACGGGGUCUACGGAUCUUGCGGGAAAAGGGGGGGACCUUCGGGCCUCCUGUCCUUGGAUGAGUCUGCGUACCAUUAGCUAGUUGGUGGGGUAAUGGCCUACCAAGGCGACGAUGGUUAGCUGGUCUGAGAGGAUGAUCAGCCACACUGGAACUGAGACACGGUCCAGACUCCUACGGGAGGCAGCAGUGGGGAAUUUUGCGCAAUGGGGGAAACCCUGACGCAGCAACGCCGCGUGGGUGAUGAAGGCCUUCGGGUCGUAAAGCUCUGUCUGGAGGGAAGAAAUGAUUGGGAGCUAAUACCUCUUGAUCUUGACGGUACCUCUGAAGGAAGCACCGGCUAACUCCGUGCCAGCAGCCGCGGUAAUACGGAGGGUGCAAGCGUUGUUCGGAAUUAUUGGGCGUAAAGCGCGUGUAGGCGGUCUUUUAAGUCUGAUGUGAAAGCCCCGGGCUCAACCUGGGAAGUGCAUUGGAAACUGGGAGGCUUGAGUACGGGAGAGGAGAGUGGAAUUCCUAGUGUAGGAGUGAAAUCCGUAGAUAUUAGGAGGAACACCGGUGGCGAAGGCGGCUCUCUGGACCGAUACUGACGCUGAGACGCGAAAGCGUGGGGUAGCAAACAGGAUUAGAUACCCUGGUAGUCCACGCCGUAACGAUGAGUACAAAGGUGUUUGCGGGUAUUGACCCC
rnacentral:rRNA from 1 species